ACACCAAGAGUCUCUUUAGAAGAGUGGGUUAUGCUUUGUCUAAUAUGCCCCGCUCCAACCAGGACCCCUGGGGUCUGAUUCAAGGUCCACCGCACCCAGUGGGAGGAGAAAAGGAGAAAGUAGGAGGUCUAAAUUCUUUGGAGGACUUUCAGCUUAAUGUUCAGAUUUGAGAGCUGAUGUAAGGCAUUACAGGUUGCAGAGUACACUACCUCAGCCCUGGUCACAAGGAUGCGAAUCAAGGUCUCCUCAUCAGUCCCAGCUCCUUUCAUUGACUUGUGCAGAAGUGCAGCGAAGUAACCUGGGCAGUCUUUGGCACAGCUGACUAGAGAAAACAUACCUAGCGUUACAGUUUUCUGAUGAACUUCAAAGCACCUAAGAAAAAUACAGGACUGCGAGCCAGAGACUGGAGGGGGCCCUUCUCCUGAGAAUAAAUGUCUCUGCUGAACUUCCACCUUGCUGCCAGGAGAAGGACCUUGGAUCUCCCAUGGUUUUGACUUUCACAGGUCAUUUCCAGAUGAUACGAGUCACAGAAUGGUUUGGGAUGGAAGGGACCUUAAAGAUCACCUUGUUCUAACCCGCCUGCCAGAGGCAGGGACACCUUCCACUGGAUCAGAUUGCUCAAAGCCUCAUCCAACGUGGCCUUGAAGACAUCCAGGGAUGGGAUAUCCACAUCUACUCUGGACAAGCUCUUACAGUGCCUCACCACCCUCACAGUAAAAAAUUUCUUCCAAACAUCUAAUCUAAAUCUAUCCUCCUUCAGCUUAAGUCCAGUUUUGACUCUUAUUUGUUUAAAUAAAUGCAAACUGGUGUUUUUAAAAGCUUAACAGGUGACUUCUCUCUGAAGCAUAAUGAAGAAAUUCCCCGCUUUGAAAGAGCUGCAACAGAAAGGAUCAAACUUACCAAAUUUCUCUUCUAGUUUUGGUUAAAAUUGACUUACUGGAAGAAGCAACAGAUUUCUACAAAAUCUUUUGGUGCUAUGCAGUCAGCAUUUUUUCCACCAAAAAAAGAUAUCAACCUUAUGUGAUAUGAUCUACUUAACUAAAAAUUUAAUAAUGUCCCAGAGAAGAGCUAGGUAGUGUAUGUACACUGAGAAGGAUGCCUGCUGAUGAUUUAUUUGAAGUCCUAUCUGCAGUUAACUGUUUCCUGUAUUGUGGGAAGUACUUGACAAGUUCGGAACAAAGAACCGGAAGCCCAGCUCUAAACCUUUUGUUCUUAAAUAUCCUCUUACACAAUUACAAGUGAACACUCAAUCCAUUCAAGUCAGAAGCUGACAUCAGUGUUGGAGCAGUUUCAACACACAUACCAUGAACCUUGUUUCCCAGAGCAGCAGGAGAGCAAAACCACGCAACUUGAGCUUGCGGCUCCUUCCUGAGAGAUUUGAGCGGCCCAGGCGAGAAGGGUUGCUACAUGCUCAUGUACUUGGGAUGUCUCAUAGAAUUUUCUUGUUUCUAAUGCCUAUUUUUAUUACUCCUCAUUCAUAGAACUAAAUCUACAGUAUUUUUGUAACUGAAAUCUUUAUCAUGCUUGCUGUCUUACAUAUAGAAUGCUUUCAAGUUCAGUGCUGCCUGUGUUAUUAACAUUCAUUAAUGACUAAUGAGCAAGUAGAUCUUUAAGAAAACAUGAAUUUAAAAAUAAGCUCUGCAGGAUCCAGCUGUUUACCUAAAUAAUAUGUUGGAAGAUUUAUUUCUCUUACAUGCAAAAUCAUUAAGGUAGUCUACAUUUCCUCCUCCAGAAAUCAAGUGCCCAAUGAGACUUCUCCAUUUUACAAUAUACAUUCUACUUUAUCACUGGAAGAAAUAAAUACUGUAUCUAUUAAACUCAACAAAAAUAUAAGGAUGCAAGGUCAAAUAGUUCCCCUGAAUUUGCAUCAGGUCUGAGAGGGAUUCUGACUUAAAAUUUCCCUUUUACUUUAAUUCCUUCUUCUGAAUGUGCUGAAGAUGAACACAAGCUGAAUUAUUUUUAUUUCAGUUACGCAUUAUUUUCUAGCUCUUCCAACUUUGAUUAAAAUGCUCUGAUCUGGUUGAGAAUGAUUUCAAGAAGACUCUGAGGCCUAGGAUCAGAAAUAUAAUUGGUGUUUUAGUAGAUAAAAUAAAAUGCUGAAUUUGAAACUAUGCAGUGUCCUCCUUAAAUCCACUAUGCCCUUGACAUUUUCAAAAGCAGAGGCCUGUAUGCUAUAUUUUUCUGUGACUGGCAUGUGGUCAGAAACAGAAAGGCCGU